rnacentral:rRNA from 1 species
AACAAGGUCUCCGUUGGUGAACCAGCGGAGGGAUCAUUAUCGAGUUAUUCAACUCCCAAACCCUAUGUGAACUUACCACUUGUUGCUUCGGCGCGCGCUUCGGCGCCGCCGAGGACACUUAAACUCUUUGUUUUUAUAAGCAUUUCUGAGUGGCCGAAAGGCAAAAAUACAAAUGAAUCAAAACUUUCAACAACGGAUCUCUUGGUUCUGGCAUCGAUGAAGAACGCAGCGAAAUGCGAUAAGUAAUGUGAAUUGCAGAAUUCAGUGAAUCAUCGAAUCUUUGAACGCACAUUGCGCCCGCCAGCAUUCUGGCGGGCAUGCCUGUUCGAGCGUCAUUUCAACCCUCGAGCCCGACUCUUUUGAGGACGGCUCGGCGUUGGGGGACGGCAGACUCCCCCCGGCAUCUCGCCGGGGACGCCGCCCCCGAAAUCUAGUGGCGGCCCUCCGAGGCGACCUCUGCGUAGUAACUUGUUCUCGCGCCGGAAAGCUCAGAGCGGCCACGCCGUAAAACCCCAACUUUUUUCAGGUUGACCUCGAAUCAGGUAGGACUACCCGCUGAACUUAAGCAUAUCAAUA